rnacentral:lncRNA from 1 species
ACUGGGGAUUGAACUCGGGGCAGUCAGCCACUAAGCCACUUCCCCAGCCCUAUUUUGUGUUUUAUUUAGAGACAGGGUCCCACCCAGUUGCUUAGUGCCUCGCUUUUGCUGAGGCUGGCUUUGACCUCGUUAUCCUCCUGCCUCAGUCUUGGGAGCUGCUGGGAUUACAGGCUUGUGCCACUGCACCAGGCAUACUUUACAGUUUUUGAUAGUAGAACUGGAUUUGGGGAAGGAAUGUGAGACAAGGGAUGGAUUGAGCUUGGCACAUCAUCAAACGUUUUAUCCUUGAGGGCUUUCAGGCAUAUUGAAAUUACCCAGUGAUUUUGGUUGUUACCAGUUACUUUAAAAAUAUUCAAUCUAGGGGCUUGGGGAUGUAGAGUGCUUGCCUAGCAUGCCCUAGGGUUCAGCUGUUACUACCCCUUGGGUUCAGUUGUUACUACCAAAAACCAAAAAUUAAUCCUGGGUAUUUUUCUGAGAAGCAUGAAUUCAGCAGAUAAAUUAGAUGAAUAUUAACAUAUGAAGAUAAAGUCAGUCUCUCUCUCUCUCUCUCUCUCUCUCUCUCUCUCUCUCUCUCUCUCUCUCUCUCUCUGUAGCAGGGAUUGAAUCCAGGGGCAUAUUACCACUGAGCCACAUCCCAACCCUUUUUAUUUUGAGACAGGGUCUUGCUAAGUUGCUUAGGGCCUCGCUAAGUUGCAGAGGCUGGCCUCAAACUUGUGAUCCUCCUGCCUCAGCCUCCCUUGAAUUUGUGAUCUUCCUGCCUCAGCCUCCCUUGAAUUUGGGAUCAUCCUGCCUCAGCCUCCUGAGUCAUUGAGAUUACAGGCAUGCAUUUAUAAAGGUGCCCAGUUUAUAAAGUUCUCUUUAGUGUCUUCCAAUGUGCUGAGCUUCUCUUUCCCUGGAGGAGGCUUUGGUAAGGGGCAUUUAGUAGGAGAAGGAAUGAGCACUUCCCGGGUGUUGUUUCACUUCAUCUCCACAUGGGCUUCAUGAGGCAGGUUUUAUAGAUGUUAGGGAAGCUGUUUUUCACUGACGAGCUUUUACAUGCCAGGACUUUAGUUGUGUGCUUUUCACAUUUUGUCCCAUCCUCAAAACUCUGUAAGACAGGGAAUGCUCCUAUUUUUGCUUUAAAAAAAUGAAACUCAAAGAGGGUGAUAGACCCAAUCCUGAGUCUGUCUGAUCUCCAAACCCAGGAUUUCUUCUGCACUGUGCUCUCUUGCUGUGAUUUGCUAGCUGGGUGGCCCAGCGCCCUCUGCUACUCUUUCCUCAUCUCUUCUCUUUGCAGGAGGGGGAGGGGGAGGGGGAGAGCCUUGAUAAUCUGUAAGGUGCUCAUCAACCAUUAGCUUUUGUCAUAUUUGGAGAAAGUCCUG